GUAGGGGGCAAGCGUUAUCCGGAAUNAUUGGGCGUAAAGAGUACGUAGGUGGUUACCUAAGCACGGGGUAUAAGGCAAUGGCUCAACUAUUGUUUGCCUUGUGAACUGGGCUACUUGAGUGCAGGAGAGGAAAGCGGAAUUCCUAGUGUAGCGGUGAAAUGCGUAGAUAUUAGGAGGAACACCAGUGGCGAAGGCGGCUUUCUGGACUGUAACUGACACUGAGGUACGAAAGCGUGGGGAGCAAACAGGAUUAGAUACCCUGGUAGUCCACGCCGUAAACGAUGAGCACUAGGUGUCGGGGUCGUAAGGCUUCGGUGCCGCAGUUAACGCAAUAAGUGCUCCGCCUGGGGAGU
rnacentral:rRNA from 1 species